rnacentral:rRNA from 1 species
UUUCCGGUUGAUCCUGCCGGACCUGACUGCUAUCGGAUUGAUACUAAGCCAUGCGAGUCAUUGUAGUAAUACAAGGCAUACGGCUCAGUAACGCGUAGUCAACCUAACCUAUGGACGGGAAUAACCUCGGGAAACUGAGUAUAAUGCCCGAUAGAACAUUAUGCCUGGAAUGGUUUAUGUUCCAAAUGAUUUAUCGCCGUAGGAUGGGACUGCGGCCUAUCAGUUUGUUGGUGAGGUAAUGGCCCACCAAGACUAUUACAGGUACGGGCUCUGAGAGGAGUAGCCCGGAGAUGGGUACUGAGACACGGACCCAGGCCCUAUGGGGCGCAGCAGGCGAGAAAACUUUGCAAUGUGCGAAAGCACGACAAGGUUAAUCCGAGUGGUUUCUGCUAAAGGAACCUUUUGUUAGUCCUAGAAACACUAACGAAUAAGGGGUGGGCAAGUUCUGGUGUCAGCCGCCGCGGUAAGACCAGCACCUCAAGUGGUCAGGAUGAUUAUUGGGCCUAAAGCAUCCGUAGCCGGAUCUGUAAGUUUUCGGUUAAAUCUGUACGCUCAACGUACAGGCUGCCGGGAAUACUGCAGAUCUAGGGAGUGGGAGAGGUAGACGGUACUCGGGAGGAAGGGGUAAAAUCCUUUGAUCUCUCGAUGACCACCUGUGGCGAAGGCGGUCUACCAGAACACGUCCGACGGUGAGGGAUGAAAGCUGGGGGAGCAAACCGGAUUAGAUACCCGGGUAGUCCCAGCUGUAAACUAUGCAAACUCAGUGAUGCAUUGACUUGUGGUCAAUGCAGUGCUGCAGGGAAGCCGUUAAGUUUGCCGCCUGGGAAGUACGUACGCAAGUAUGAAACUUAAAGGAAUUGGCGGGGGAGCACCACAAGGGGUGAAGCCUGCGGUUCAAUUGGAUUCAACGCCGGA